rnacentral:rRNA from 1 species
AGAGUUUGAUUAUGGCUCAGGACGAACGCUGGCGGCGUGCCUAACACAUGCAAGUCGAACGGGACCAGGGGCAACUCUGGUUCAGUGGCGGACGGGUGCGUAACACGUGAGGAACAUGACUUUCGGCGGGGGAUAGCCGGCCCAACGGCCGGGUAAUACCGCGUACGACCUCUCGGGGACAUCCCCGGUUGGUGAAGCAGCAAUGCACCGAAGAGUGCCUCGCGGCCUAUCAGCUAGUUGGUGGGGUAACGGCUCACCAGGCGACGACGGGUAGCUGGUCUGAGAGGAUGGCCAGCCACAUUGGGACUGAGACACGGCCCAGACUCCUACGGGAGGCAGCAGUGGGGAAUAUUGCGCAAUGGGCGAAAGCCUGACGCAGCGACGCCGCGUGUGGGAUGACGGCCUUCGGGUUGUAAACCACUGUCGGGAGGGACGAAUGCGCCGCAAGGCGAGUGACGGUACCUCCAAAGGAAGCACCGGCUAACUCCGUGCCAGCAGCCGCGGUAAUACGGAGGGUGCGAGCGUUGUCCGGAAUCACUGGGCGUAAAGGGCGCGUAGGCGGCCUGAUAAGUAGGGGGUGAAAUCUUGCGGCUUAACCGCAAGGCUGCCUUCUAAACUGUCAGGCUAGAGCACAGUAGAGGCAGGUGGAAUUCCCGGUGUAGCGGUGGAAUGCGUAGAGAUCGGGAAGAACAUCAGUGGCGAAGGCGGCCUGCUGGGCUGUUGCCGACGCUGAGGCGCGACAGCGAUGGGAAGCAACAGGAUUAGAUACCCUGGUAGUCCACGCCGUAAACGAAUGGCACUAGGCGUCGGGGGGAGCGACCCUCUCGGUGCCGUCGCCUACGCAGUAAGUGCCCCGCCCUGGGAGUACGGGCCGCAGGCUGAAACUCAAAAUGAAUUGACGGG